rnacentral:rRNA from 1 species
AACUUGGCGUGGAGGGCGAAACCACCGGGGUUGACACAGCCCGGGGAGGACUUGUGGGUAGCGGUGAAAUUCCAAGCGAGCCCGGAGAUAGCUGGUUCUCCCCGAAAUAGCUUUAGGGCUAGCCUCAAGGUGAGAGAUACGGAGGUAGAGCACUGAAUGUCCUAGGGGGUAUUGCACCUACCGAAGACUAUCAAACUCCGAAUGCCGUCAUCUUAUACUUGGGAGUCAGACUGUGGGUGAUAAGAUUCAUAGUCGAAAGGGCAACAGCCCAGAUCGUCAGCUAAGGUCCCUAAAUGUAAGUUAAGUGGUAAAGGAUGUGGGAUUGCACAGACAACCAGGAUGUUGGCUUAGAAGCAGCCACUCAUUCAAAGAGUGCGUAAUAGCUCACUGGUCGAGUGAUCCUGCGCCGAAGAUUUCCGGGGCUAAAACUUACUACCGAAGCUACGGCAUCAGUAAUGAUGGGUAGGGGAGCUUCCCAUACGGGUUGAAGCAUGACCGUAAGGACAUGUGGACAGUAUGGGAGUGAGAAUGUUGGCA